rnacentral:tRNA from 1 species
GCCUGGGUGGCUCAGUCGGUUGAGUGUCUGACUUCUGCUCAGGUCAUGAUCUCAUAGCUCGUGAGUUCGAACCUCGCGUCAGGCU